rnacentral:lncRNA from 1 species
GCUUCGACUUCUUCUAGAAAGUUGUUCGAAAUGUUGAGAGGAAGAUUCUGUAAAAUUUUGGUGGUGAUUGGAGGUGGCCGAAAGUUUCUGCAGUUUUUUUUUUUCUAAAACCCAGCAACUUUAGCCGACGAUAUUUAAACACUAUAUUCGUCGGCUAUAGUAUUUUUUAAUUUUUUUAUAAGGUUAAUUCGUCGGCUAUAGUUAUUUUUUAAUUUUUUUUAUAAGGUUUAGCCGACGAAAUAUAAAAUAUUUCGUAGGCUAUAGUUAUUUUUUUAAAUUUUUUACAAGGUUUAGCCGACGAAAUAUAGUAAAUUUCGUCGGCUAUAGUUAUUUUUUAAUUAUUUAUUACACACUUUAGCCGACGAAUAUCUUAAUUGGUUCGUCGGCUAAAGUCUGGGAAAAAAACCGACGACAUGUUUUUCGUCGGCUAACUGUGGGACUAUAGCCGACGAAAAAAAAUUUCGUCGGCUAAAGUCAUCACCGACGACCCUUUCCCGACGACACUAUAGCCGACGAAGGCUCGUCGGCUAAGAUCUUAGCCGACGAAUUAAGAUAACAGGCCGACGAAAGUGCUUGUCCUGAUAGUGUUAGUACCAAAUAUUAGAUUUUAAUCGGACAGAAAACAAGUCUUAAUCAGAUAUAGUUGCAUGCAUAUGAGCAUAUCGAUCUAGACCAUGCAAUUCGAUUCAGAGCUGACCAGACUUGGAUGACAGUGUGAGUUAAUGAUUAUUGGAGGAUGGACAUGGAACUCAGCAAAAUGGCACAUAAUGCUAGAGAAUAGAAGCUACCAUCCUCCAUAAGAAUUCAUAUUUUUAUGUGUUAGCAGUGUUCGUGAAGGCAACGGUGCCCCAAUAUUUUUGAUCAUAAUGUAAAUAAAUAAGUAACUAACUAUUUAACCAAUUAUUUUGGUGCAGCAAUUUCAUUGACAUCCGGAUAUAUUAUGUACAUGCAAUUUCGCUUAUAGUACACAAUUGUAGUGUAUAAAACCAUUAUGGCUAGCUAGCUAAAUUCUAAGAUGCAU